GUUAGCAUGACUUAAUGCCCCAAUGCCCAUGCUUUAGCAAACAUCUAGAAUGUAAUCUUAAUGCAUCUUAGUUAUUGAGUCUUCGCAAAGGGCAUUUGGAAGAUAGGUAAUUAAGGUAGACUUGUCAUCAUGAGGCAUCAGGGGCAAGUAGAUGGAUAGAUGUGGGGCAGAAUUAGUUCACUGGUAUUGAUAACAGAUAAAUCCUGAAUCCAUAUAUCUAGGCUAAUUAGACUUGUCAGGUUUUAGCAAUUUUAAU
rnacentral:lncRNA from 1 species